rnacentral:rRNA from 1 species
GAUGAACGCUGACAGAAUGCUUAACACAUGCAAGUCUUUGGAGAAUCUGUGCUUGCACAGGCUAGCCAAGGCGGACGGGUGAGUAACGCGUAAAGAACUUGCCCUGCAGACAGGGAUAACAGACGGAAACGACUGAUAACACCUGAUACAGUUGCCGGCACGCAUGUGCCUGGCAAUGAAAAGAGAUGCUGCAGGAGAGCUUUGCGUCCUAUUAGCUUGUUGGUGAGGUGACGGCUCACCAAGGCGAUGAUAGGUAGCCGGCCUGAGAGGGUGAACGGCCACAAGGGGACUGAGAUACGGCCCUUACGCCUACGGGAGGCAGCAGUGGGGAAUAUUGGACAAUGGGGGCAACCCUGAUCCAGCAAUUCGGUGUGCACGAAGAAGGUUUUCGGAUUGUAAAGUGCUUUCAGCAGGGAAGAAGAAAGUGACGGUACCUGCAGAAGAAGCGACGGCUAAAUACGUG